rnacentral:rRNA from 1 species
AGGGACCAUCCGCUAAGGCUAAAUACUCCUGAGAGACCGAUAGUGAACCAGUACCGUGAGGGAAAGGUGAAAAGAACCGUGAAUAACGGAGUGAAAAAGAUCCUGAAACCAUACGCCUACAAGCGGUCGGAGCCCAUUCGUUGGGUGACGGCGUGCCUUUUGCAUAAUGAGCCUACGAGUUACCGUUGCUGGCAAGGAUAAGCACUUCAGGUGUGGAUCCGUAGCGAAAGCGAGUCUGAAUAGGGCGCUAUAGUCAGUAGUGGUAGACGCGAAACCGUGUGAUCUACCCAUGGGCAGGAUGAAGCUGUGGUAACACACAGUGGAGGUCCGAACCGGUUGACGUUGAAAAGUCUUCGGAUGACCUGUGGGUAGGGGUGAAAGGCCAAUCAAACUCGGAAAUAGCUCGUACUCCCCGAAAUGCAUUUAGGUGCAGCGCUGAUUUAGUUAUAUAGAGGUAGAGCUACUGAUUGGAUGCGGGGGCUUCACCGCCUACCAAUUCCUGACAAACUCCGAAUGCUAUAUAAUGAUUUUCAGCAGUGAGGGCAUGGGUGCUAAGGUCCAUGUCCGAGAGGGAAAGAACCCAGACCAUCAGCUAAGGUCCCCAAAUGUAUGCUAAGUUGAAAAAACGAGGUUUGUCUGCCCAGACAGCUAGGAUGUUGGCUUGGAAGCAGCCAUUCAUUUAAAGAGUGCGUAACAGCUCACUAGUCGAGCGGACGAGCAUGGAUAAUAAUCGGGCAUAAGUAUACUACCGAAGCUAUGGAUUUGUAUUUAAUACAAGUGGUAGGGGAGCAUUCUAAACUGGGUUGAAGGUGAUAUGUGAGUAUUGCUGGACUGUUUAGAAAAGAAAAUGUAGGCAUAAGUAACGAUAAUGCGGGCGAGAAACCCGCACACCGAAAGACUAAGGUUUCCUCAGCUAUGCUAAUCAGCUGAGGGUUAGUCGGGUCCUAAGGCGAACCCGAAAGGGACAGUCGAUGGCCAACGGGUUAAUAUUCCCGUACUACUUAUAAUUGUGAUGGGGUGACGGAGUGAUGAAAGUACCGCGAACUGACGGAAUAGUUCGUUAAAGCACCUAGCUAUAGGUCCCGUAGGCAAAUCCGCGGGAUUUGGUGAAAUGCGAUAGUACACGGAGUCUUCGGACAAAGUGAUAGUGUACCUAAGGGCUUCCAAGAAAAACCUCUAAACUUAGAUUAUAAGUACCCGUACCGUAAACCGACACAGGUAGUCGAGGAGAGAAUCCUAAGGUGCUCGAGAGAUUCAUGGCUAAGGAAUUAGGCAAAAUAGACCUGUAACUUCGGGAGAAAGGUCGCCCCGAGCAAUCGGGGCCGCAGUGAAAAGGUCCAGGCGACUGUUUAUCAAAAACACAGGGCUCUGCCAAAUCGUAAGAUGAAGUAUAGGGCCUGACACCUGCCCGGUGCUGGAAGGUUAAGAGGAGAUGUUAUCUUCGGAGAAGCAUUGAAUUGAAGCCCCAGUAAACGGCGGCCGUAACUAUAACGGUCCUAAGGUAGCGAAAUUCCUUGUCGG